UUUUUUGGGAAAAUACGAAUG
rnacentral:piRNA from 1 species